GGGGAUGUUUUAUAUUCGACGUUGUAUGAAAUAAUAUAUAGCAAGUUGAGUUCACGAUCUCAUAAAAAUCGCCAAAAAUAAGUGCAAAAAAUACAUUUGCCAAAGUUAAAGAACUUUUUCAAGUUCCACAACUUUCACCAGUCUUAGCAUAAAUUUGCUUUGACCGUUUCUAGUUUAAUCUGCCUGGGGUUAGUUAGGAGCGUCAAUUUAUCAGGCUUGAAAACAUUCUGUGUUGGCUAGGAUGUUUUGAGAAUAAAGCCAACUAGAUUAAUGCCUUUUUGUUAAUUUUUAAGCUAUUAAUCAAACAAGUUAAAUUAACUAAGCUUGUAGAAAUAUAUUGGGACAUGCGACAGACAGGGGUGUAAUUCCCCUCAUCUCCACCA
rnacentral:tmRNA from 3 species